AGGGAUAUAGCUCAGUUGGUAGAGUGCUUGCCUUCCAUUCAUAAGGCCCUGGGUUCUAUCUCCCAGCAUCACAC
rnacentral:tRNA from 1 species